GACUCAACAAUCACACCUGCCAGUUCUUUAAGAUCUUCAGGGUGGAGUUCAUCUGGGCCAGAUGAAGUUUCCAGAAGCUGAAAUUUUCGGACCUACUCCGCCAUCUUCCCAGAAUCCUCCACUGAUGGUCUGAUGCUUAAUCCAGGUCUACCUGGGCUUUCCAACAUCAGCUGCCCUUGGUGCAAAGAUACCUUGAAGCCAGAAGGAGGCUGGCCAUGCUAAUGGUUUUGGCUUCCAGAGGCUUUGCAACAACUGGAAUUCUUCAUGGCGGUGGACGAGAAGCUGAGCUAACCAUUCACCUCCCAUAUGUAGAAUGUAUAACUGUUGACUGCAAAUAGAUAACCCCUAGCACCCAGUUAUUCUUCUACAUUCUUCACUCUGGUAGAAUUUGACUGCCUCCAUGAGACACUGAUGAUUAUAGAGUUCAGAGGGGACACAAGUAUUACCUCCCCGUAUUAGAAGAUACCCCAACCUACAGCAACCACCACCCUGAUGAGUCAGCAGCAUCACCAUCGAGGCAAGACCCUCUACUGGCAAAAAGAUUGCAGCUCACUGAAGGCU